UUUCUUCAACUUCACUUUAAGCACUGAGCAUUUCUAGAAAGUAAAGUCUCAUUUUCACACUCUCAAUAGUUUAUUUAAAUAACUAACAAUGUCUAACAGUGUUUUUACAUGCAUUAUAUGGAGAUUUCUGUCAUUAUCAGCACAUCUCUAAUUCUGUAUUGUGUUUAAUAGAAUUCUGUGCUGGAAAUGAUGCUGAUGGAAAUCAUUUUGAACCUUUUUCAAAUAUAAUGACCGACUGCUUUGUCUUGCUAAAGCUAAUAUCAUAGCUAGCAUAUUAUGUGUCCUAAAUACACACAAUUAAAACACAUUUGCACUUUAUUUUUUUGGUUGAUUGAAAAUGACGGUCAGUAGAAAAGUGAUAUUUAUCUUGAUUUUGUCUCAUAUUUCAUCUCAUAUUUCAUGCUCUUCACUGACACUUUUGUCCGCUUGGUUAACAAGUACACUUACUUUAGAAAACACUUUAUUAUUAGGGGUAAAACAGUUUAUUGUGCUGGAAAUGACGCCACAACUGUGGGACAGUCAUCAUUUUGGACAAAUUGAUAGAAAUCAUUUUCACACAAUAAACAUAGAUAUGGUUUAUGCUUAUUUCACUCUUUGUUUAGAUGAUCAUAGUUUUAAAUGUAAUAAUUAGUAUUUUUAUAAUGGAUUUUCAUAGUUUAAUAUCGAGAAUCUGGGACGAGACUAAAACUGUCAAAUCUAUAUAUAUAUAUAUAUUUAAAAAGUUUAAAAAUGAAGAAAAAUGGAAUAUAAAUGAAGACAUGAUAACAAGUUUCCAAUUCUUUUUUAAUGACAUGAUCUUAAAACUAAAAAAAACAAACAAAAAAAAAAAAAAAAAACAAAACAUAUAUAUACACUACAUUGCCAAAAGUAUUCGCUCAUCUGCCUUUAGACGCAUAUGAACUUAAGUGACAUCCCAUUCUUAAUCCAUAGGGUUUAAUAUGACGUCGGCCCACCCUUUGCAGCUAUAACAGCUUCAACUCUUCUGGGAAGGCUUUCCACAAGGUUUAGGAGUGUGUUUAUGGGAAUUUUUGACCAUUCUUCCAGAAGCGCAUUUGUGAGGUCAGACACUGAUGUUGGACGAGAAGGCCUGGCUCACAGUCUUCGCUCUAAUUCAUCCCAAAGGUGCUCUAUCGGGUUGAGGUCAGGACUCUGUGCAGGCCAGUCAAGUUCUUCCACACCAAACUCACUCAUCCAUGUCUUUAUGGACCUUGCUUUGUGCACUGGUGCGCAGUCAUGUUGGAACAGGAAGGGGCCAUCCCCAAACUGUUCCCACAAAGUUGGGAGCAUGGAAUUGUCCAAAAUCUCUUGGUAUGCUGAAGCAUUCAGAGUUCCUUUCACUGGAACUAAGGGGCCAAGCCCAGCUCCUGAAAAACAACCCCACACCAUAAUCCCCCCUCCACCAAACUUCACAGUUGGCACAAUGCAGUCAGACAAGUACCGUUCUCCUGGCAACCGCCAAACCCAGACUCGUCCAUCAGAUUGCCAGAUGGAGAAAGCGUGAUUCGUCACUCCAGAGUACGCGUCUCCACUGCUCUAGAGUCCAGUGGCGGCGUGCUUUACACCACUGCAUCCGACGCUUUGCAUUGCACUUGGUGAUGUUUCCAUUCCAUGAAGCUCUCUACGCACUGUUCUUGAGCUAAUCUGAGGGCCACAUGAACUUUGGAGGCCUGUAGCGAUUGACUCUGCAGAAAGUUGGUGACCUCUGCGCACUAUGCGCCUCAGCAUCCGCUGACCCCGCUCUGUCAUUUUACAUGGCCUACCACUUCAUGGCUGAGUUGCUGUCAUUCCCAAUCGCUUCCACUUUGUUAUAAUACCACUGACAGUUGACUGUGGAAUAUUUAGUAGCGAGGAAAUUUCACGACUGGACUUGUUGCACAGGUGGCAUCCUAUCACAGUACCACGCUGGAAUUCACUGAGCUCCUGAGAGCGGCCCAUUCUUUCACAAAUGUUUGUAGAAGCAGUCUGCAUGCCUAGGUGCUUCAUUUUAUACACCUGUGGCCAUGGAAGUGAUUGGAACACCUGAAUUCAAUUAUUU